UCACAUCUCCAUGUCCAUGACUUGUGAAACAUAGUCAUCAACUAAUACAUGUGCUAGUCUAAUAUUCAUGUGUGUCCUCACAUGAACUCCGACUAGGGACAAUUUUAGAAUAACCAUACAAGUAUAGAGUUUCACAUACAAUUCACAUAAUUGCAAAUCAAUUAAGGUAGCCUUUAAUGGAUAUUCAAGGAACACAAUAUAAAUCAUGGAUACAAACGGAAUGUCAUCAUCUCUAUGAUUGCCUCUAGGGCAUACCUCCA
rnacentral:lncRNA from 1 species